CAGUAGCCGCGGUAAUACGAAGGGUGCAAGCGUUAAUCGGAAUUACUGGGCGUAAAGCGUGCGUAGGCGGUUUGUUAAGUCUGCUGUGAAAUCCCCGGGCUCAACCUGGGAAUGGCAGUGGAUACUGGCAAGCUAGAGUGUGUCAGAGGAUGGUGGAAUUCCCGGUGUAGCGGUGAAAUGCGUAGAGAUCGGGAGGAACAUCAGUGGCGAAGGCGGCCAUCUGGGACAACACUGACGCUGAGGCACGAAAGCGUGGGGAGCAAACAGGAUUAGAUACCCCCGUAGUCCCUGUCUCUUAUAC
rnacentral:rRNA from 1 species